GACGGGGGGGGCAAGUGUUCUUCGGAAUUACUGGGCGUAAAGCGUGCGCAGGCGGCUUUGCAAGACAGAUGUGAAAUCCCCGGGCUCAACCUGGGAACUGCAUUUGUGACUGCAUGGCUGGAGUGCGGCAGAGGGGGGGGAUGGAAUUCCGCGUGUAGCAGUGAAAUGCGUAGAUAUGCGGAGGAACACCGAUGGCGAAGGCAAUCCCCUGGGCCUGCACUGACGCUCAUGCACGAAAGCGUGGGGAGC
rnacentral:rRNA from 1 species